GCAUUGGUGGUUCAGUGGUAGAAUUCUUGCCUUCCAUGCGCUAGACCCAGGUUUGAUUCCCAGCCAGUGUA
rnacentral:tRNA from 1 species